rnacentral:lncRNA from 1 species
GACGAGAAGACAACAAAAAUCACUCUUCCUCCUCCAGUCCUCCCAAGUCACUCUCGGCUCUCUGUUUUCUCUCAACAGACAAGCCACAAGAGGAAAAAAAAGGAACUCUCCACUUUUUCUCCCAAUACAACCUCUCGGCUCUCUCUCUCGAAUCCCCCUCUCAUUUCUUUUAACAAGCCACAAAACACUCCCUCAAUCUUCUCUCGGCUCCAUCUCUGGCUCUCUCAAUCUCAUAUGCACCUAUUCUCGGAGCAAAGAAAGGUGAAGGAAGGAAAUGAAGACAACAAGCAAUUGGAGUGUGAGGUGUUGGAUUUCCUUCAAAAUUUUGACCGAAGAAGCUCUUGCUUGAGUUGAGGUAUUUUUCCAGCUUUAUUAACCAUGUCAAACCCAUAUUUUAUCGUUUAAUUUUCUGGCUUUUGCUGUCUUUUAUUGAUGUUUGUUGUGUUGUUCAAAAUUUGGGAAAUGGCUUGAGCUAGAUUAAGAAAAAGGAAAUAGUUUUUGUAUAUGCAUGCUAGGUGUUUGAAAAAAUGCCUAAAUAAAAAACCGAAUUAAAGUACCUAUUAUUGUGCAAUUUUUUUUUGUUAAAAUGAAUGAUUACAGCUAGUACAAAGCCUGCAAAUGCUUGGUUAUCCAAAAUUUUGGAGUUUUUGAGCCUUAAGAGCAUUAGAAUAAUUUUCUUCAUUUUGGGGGCUGUUUUGACUUAAUGCAUCAUUUUGUUAUUGUUUACUUGUCAAACUAAGAUUAUAGUUGUAAUGUAGAAGUUAGAAGGAGGGUUUUGGCAUAAUUUUUAUGAUUUUUGGUGAAGGUUUAAGGGUUUUAAAAGGAUAAAAAACUGGGCUGUUUUUUGGCAUUUUGGCCACCUUCGGGUCAUUUUUUGUAAAAACUAACUUAAAAAAUGGAUUCAACGCGAAAAAUCGAGUGAGGGAGUGUAUUUUGGUGAAAUUUUGUGAUCGGAAAAAUCGCCGGCGACCGGCGGUGGCGGUGCCGGCGCCGCCAUGUCAGCCAUGGCUGGCGGUAGCGAGGAGCUUCAGCUGGCCAGGCAAGAAGAAGAAGAAACGGAAGGGGAGGAAGAAGAAAGAAAAGAAAGGAAAGAAAAGAAAAGAAGAAAAAAAAUGGUUUGGGCUAAUUUUUUUUUUUAAGGUGGGCUUGUGGUUAUUUUUUGGUUGGGUUUUGGUUUAUUUCUUUUGUGUUUCGGUUUGGGGUAGGAGGUCAGAGUUCAUGCAUUUUUGGUUGGGCUUGAAUGAUAAAAAGACGGGCUGGCCUGCUCGCUUCUCCUGGGUUUCGGCUGGGCUUAGGAAUUUUUGGCCCGAGUAAAAAAAAUAAAAGAGGCCCGAUGCCUUUUUCUUGCCCAAAUCAGAAACCGAAAUUUGCACUUUAGCCCCUGAUCUUUGGAGUAGUUUUACUACGGCCCAAAAUAUUUUAAAUUUCUUUCAAUUAGGUCCUUAAUUUAAUUGUAAUUUGGUCCUUAAAUUUUUAUUUUUAUUUAAUUUUGACCCCUAAACUUUAGAAAAAUUAUAUUUUGACCCUAAAAGUUUUUCAAUUUUUGCAAUUUAGUCUCUAGUGAAUUUUGACUCUCUUUAUUAUGAUUGUUUCUUUUCUUUAAUAGCUAAUUAUGAUACUUUUGAAUAUAUUUAACUUGUAAUUUUUAGAUGUUCUUCAAUUUCUUUACAUUUGACAUAUUAAUGUGAAUUUAGUAUUUUUAUUAUUAUUAUUAUUUUCAAUUAAAUUGGUGUCAUGAUUCUUUUGUUCAUUUUGAGUAUAAAUAGGCCAAUUUGACUUCCAUUUAGUCACCACUUCAAAAGGAAGGUAUCCCUAUUAUUAUUCAAAUGUUCAUUACGUGCUCUUAUGUGCUCCUAUGUGUUUAUAUUUUUUUUACAUGCUUUGUUAUUUAUUUGAUUCAAAUCUUCAUUCAAAUUUUCUUAUAUUUGUUUAGUUAAUUUUUAUAAUUAUUUGGGAGGUAUUUAAAUACCUCAAAAAUGUAAUAGAUAGGAUAAUUAGAUUUGUUUUAUUUUAUUUUUCCAUUUUAGACUGUAGUAAGGGUCUCCGAUGUAAUAGGUAGGUUGUGUGUUUAUGUGGCUUAUGUGUUAUAUGCUUUAUCCGCUUUCCUUAGGAUUUUUUCAUCUAGAUAUUAUGUUUACGUGUUACGUGCUAUGUGCUCUUAUGUAUUUAUUUGUUUUAAUUUAUGCCUUAUUUGUUUUAUUAUGUAUUAUUAAUGCAUGACGUCACCACACUAGUCCAACGCUAGUUGUUUCUUCUCCCUCCGUUUACUUGCUAGUCCAACGCUAGUAAGGAUUUUUAAAAAUGGGUUAAUCCAACGCUAGACUUUUAGAUUGUUCACGCAUUAGAUUCAUCUUUUGUAUGAUAUCCAUUACAUUUUUAUGCAUAUUUUUAUUUUUUUAGGAUCUUUUCUCAUUUGCAUGAUAUUUUUUAUUACAUUAUCUCCUACCCUUUAUAUGUGUUAAUCAUAUCAUUUAGAAUUGCAUCUCAUUUAAGAAAUUGUAAAAUAAGUUAAUUCAUUUGUUUGUUUAUAUUAGGAGAAUCAUUCAUUGAACAUGGAUAUGGGUGAUUAUAACUUUUUAAUUUAAAUACCCUAUUAAUCCCUGUAUAAAAAUUAUGUCAUGAAUUUUUGCCUCUCAUACCCGUUAUGUUGCAUUUUCUAUUCUUUGGCCACUUAUACUUAUAUAUAUAAUUUAAUUUUUUUUAAUUUUAUCAUUUGCAUACUCGUGGCUCCUUCAAAAAACUAUUUUGGUCUUCGCAAUUAAUGUGAUUGGUAUUAGUUAAACCCUUGAAUGAAUAUUUUGUCCCUCUCGAUGUUUUUUAUAAAUUUAGAUUUGCAUUCAUGUAGGAAACAUUCAAAUGUGAUAAAUUUAAGUGUUAGAUUAGGAAAAUUUUUGACUAAACCUCGUAAUUGGCUUAAACUAAGUUGAAAGGGUGCCUUAAAUUCGAGUCAAUCGAACUUUUGCCUUCCCUUUCUUCAAUUGUGACUUCCGAACUCAUUUUCUAUUAUUUUCAAAGAUUUGGAAUUGUCGAAAAGGGUUUUAUUUUAUUUAUUUUUACUUUAUUUUUGUUAGAAGUACUUUGAGGGUGACUUGGUACAUAAAAACUCAAUUCCAAGUGACGGCUCCUCUUUUUCUUAAAAAACCCUUUUAGCCUAAAUUUUGGACCCAAACUGUCGCAUUCUUUAAAGUCUUGUUUUAGGUCCUUUUUUACUCUUUUUUUAAAUAAAAUCAUAUCUUUUGUAAACACUAUAUUUUUCAUUGCAAAAAAUGGGCCGUGACACCAAUAUUCCAUUUAAUAGCUAUUCACCAAAAGAGAAAAAGGAAACCUUGUAUGUCAUCCUUGACCAUUUAAUCACAACUAGGUUCUCAUUAUCGGUCCCAAUAUAGACUCAAGUUGUGUUUGAUAAAACUGAAAAUUGAAUCUAUUAAAUUAUUGAAUUAUUAAGUAUCAAAUAUAUUAUAUUUGAAUGUAUAUCACAUUCACUGAUAAGUGAAUAACUUAUCACUUAAUUUUAAAAAUAAAUUUUGCUUAUAAAGUUUAGUGCAACUUAAUUAAUUAAGAUAUUCAAUUUUUGGUUAUCAAACGAUCUGAAUAUGAUAAUAUCUGAUUUCAUUAAAUUUAAGUGUCGAAUUGGGUUAUUAAACAGGUCUCAAUUUGAAUUGCUUAUUUGUAAAAUACAUAAGCACCUAUUCAAUUGGUCAUAGAAAUUUCAAAUUGGUUAACCUCCCCCACAUGUUUCAACUUUUUUUUAAACUAAUUAACUUUCCAUUGAAAUAAAGAAUCAUUCUGGUUGAAUGGUUGGAUUUGAAAGAUUUCCCUUGAGCAAUUUGAAAAGAAGUAGAAACAGCAAAUAAAUGUGCGUUUGCGUGUAUUUUUUUUAAUUUUUUUGAUAAAUUAUUUCACGUAAUGCAUUAAAAUUUAAGGAUCGACUUGUUGAAAAUUAACGAUGUGGAGGCUAAUUUGUUAGCUAAAAAACGUUGGACGACAACUAUAUUGCUCAUUUGCACAAUUUAUUUAUUUUGUUCUUUGUCAGUUUUUUCAUUUAUGAAGCUUUUACUCCCCCUGGGCCGUGGAUGCUUGAAGUCCAUAACCAGCCCUACUCCUAGUGCAGUUGCACGAAGAACAUAGACCGCCGCCUUUCAAGAUCGAUUCACUGAAGCUAAGGACACGGCGGAGCAGACAAUUAAGUCUAAGUGGCCUUCCCACAUAACACUGGUGGAGCAGAACCCACCGGUCUCCGCCGGAGGAGAGCUAAAACACCUCUGAAAGAACAAAAAAACUUUGUUGCUUCCGCCAAAGAAGGCGAACCUUUUCUAAGGACAAGGAUGCAGUACCAUAAAAGCAAUGCAUACACGAACAAGGUAUUUGCUUGAUAAAUUAACAACUUGCGAUUAAUCCUUCACUGUUUUCUUUUAGUUCCUGGUUUCUUUCAAUAAAUGAUAGUCUACUUUAACGGUGAAGGAAGUGAUGGCAUAAGUAAAAGGUAUGAGCAGGAUGAAUUGAUGGUAGUAAUGGGGUAAAAGUAGGAACGGAAGAAAAUCAAAAGAAAGAAAGAAAGAAGAGGGCCCCUGUUCUUGUACAAGUUGUUGCAAUGUAACAUUCGCUACCUCUUCGAGAGCAAUAUUACACCAUUGCUUAAAUAAGACUGGUGUAAUGGGUUGUAAUAAAAGGCGUGGGUUGCAUUCUAGAAUUGAAUGCUAACCUAGACUUCGCCCUACAUUAUUUGCUUUUACCCCGUUUCAGCUGCCAUCAAUUUUCCAGCAAUGAUCAAACCUUAUUGCUGAUCCUUUAAUUGUAUUACUUAAAAUUUUUUCUUUACGGGCUUUUAUAUUUUGCAAUGCCGUUUUUGAAGUUAUUUCUCACUUUACUGCAUU